GAUAUUAUUAUUUAUUGAUUUAUAUAGCGCCAUCAUAUUCCACAGCGUUGUACAAUGCGGACAUUAUAAGUAGCAUCACAUAACAAUUAGAGUUAGAAAAGCAAAGGGUAAAGAGGGUCCUGCGCACAGGAGCUUACAAUCUAGAAAGUUCCAAUGUUACUGGGAAACCUGUAGCUCCAUCAGCGAUCAUCUCAUUAGAAUAGAAAUGUUUUAUUUCUCGUCAGGUCCAGGAAAUGUCAGGGAACCGGUGAGAAAGCUGAUGCUGGACCAACGAGAGACUCCGCUCCACCAGACACCAUUGUCUCC